AGCGGCAUCCCGAGGGGUCGGCUGUUGGAGAGUCGGCGGGACACCUCGCCCGAAAAUCCGCCCGCUGCCGCCGGUCAGCGACGAGCAUCGGCAACCUACCCGACCCGUCUUGAAACACGGACCAAGGAGUCCCAGUCGACUGCGAGUCGUUGGAGCCUUUCAAUUCGCGAACUCCGACGGCACAGCGAAAGCGAGAACGUGACACGACGUCGCCGUCUCGCUUCGGCGUAGCGGCGGCAGGCCUGCGCCGGUCGCCCGUUGCU